GCCAUCAACUGUGACUGAACUUACACAUGCAAGUAUCCGCACCCCUGUGAGAAUGCCCUACAGUUUCCUGAAUGGAAACAAGGAGCUGGUAUCAGGCACAAUAUAGCCCACGACGCCUUGCUAAGCCACACCCCCAAGGGAUUUCAGCAGUGAUAGAUAUUAAGCUAUGAGUGAAAACUUGACUUAGUUAAUGUUAAUAGGGUCGGUAAAUCUCGUGCCAGCCACCGCGGUUAUACGAGAGACCCAAGUGGAUGGUCUUCGGCGUAAAGAGUGGUUAAGAUAAAAAAAACUAAAGCCAAAUAACUUCAAAGCUGUCAUACGCGCAUGAAGAAAAGAAACCCAACCACGAAAGUGGCUUUAAACUCUGACUCCACGAAAGCUAUGGUACAAACUGGGAUUAGAUACCCCACUAUGCUUAGCCUUAAACAUAGAUAAUAAUCUACUUAUUUAUCCGCCCGGGAACUACGAGCGUUAGCUUAAAACCCAAAGGACUUGGCGGUGCUUUAGAUCCACCUAGAGGAGCCUGUUCUAGAACCGAUAAUCCCCGUUAAACCUCACCUUUCCUUGUCUUCUUCCGCCUAUAUACCGCCGUCGUCAGCUUGCUCUGUGAGGAACUUGCAGCGUGCAUAACUGGCAUAGCCCAAAACGUCAGGUCGAGGUGUAGCGAAUGGAAAGGGAAGAAAUGGGCUACACUCAGUAAAUACUAAAUACGGAUGACAUUCUGAAAAAAUAUCUGAAGGAGGAUUUAGCAGUAAGCAGAGAAUAGAGUGCUCUGCUGAAACAGGCCCUGAAGCGCGUACACACCGCCCGUCACUCUCUCCGAGCUAGUCGAAAACCAUUACUAAUAAACCAGAGCUGCUAAGGGGAGGC
rnacentral:ncRNA from 1 species